AAGUGCGCGAAUUAACUUCACUUUUUUCGCCACCAACGAAAGCACUUUUCCCGACGCCAACGAAACCCACAACUAUGCAAAUUCGACCAUACUAAGCACUGCCUAUGGCUUUUCCUUGUCACCACCAAGUUGGAGGUUUUUGUAUGUAACUGAAGACUGCUACGUUGUGAGUGUGUUAUCUUCAGUACCUGAGGCUGACGGCUGCGCAGGACCCGUAGAAGGAAGGUUCGAAAGCCGCACCCUUUCGAGCAGCAACGACUCUCUCUCGUUCACCAGCAGCACUGAGAAUUGGGAAAAGCCUCUUUGUGAACUUUGGGUGCGCCGACCAUACAAAGAAUAUGAUCAAAAACCAGGGGAGCUGAAGAAUUGGUCAUGCUGCGAAGUGUUCUUCAAUAAUACUUGUAACACGUCCACCGUUGUACAGGUUUUCGAUGAAAACAAGUGCCGUCACCAAGAAGAGGAUCCAGAAGAAUAAAAUGUUUGUAUGAAA